UACGAAGGGGGCUAGCGUUGCUCGGAAUCACUGGGCGUAAAGCGCACGUAGGCGGAUUGUUAAGUCAGGGGUGAAAUCCUGGAGCUCAACUCCAGAACUGCCUUUGAUACUGGCGAUCUUGAGUCCGGGAGAGGUGAGUGGAACUGCGAGUGUAGAGGUGAAAUUCGUAGAUAUUCGCAAGAACACCAGUGGCGGAAGGCGGCUCACUGGCCCGGUACUGACGCUGAGGUGCGAAAGCGUGGGGAGCAAACAGG
rnacentral:rRNA from 1 species